rnacentral:rRNA from 1 species
GAUGAACGCUGGCGGCGUGCCUAAUACAUGCAAGUCGAGCGAACGGACGAGAAGCUUGCUUCUCUGAUGUUAGCGGCGGACGGGUGAGUAACACGUGGAUAACCUACCUAUAAGACUGGGAUAACUUCGGGAAACCGUAGCUAAUACCGGAUAAUAUUUUGAACCGCAUGGUUCAAAAGUGAAAGACGGUCUUGCUGUCACUUAUAGAUGGAUCCGCGCUGCAUUAGCUAGUUGGUAGGGUAACGGCUUACCAAGGCAACGAUGCAUAGCCGGCCUGAGAGGGUGAUCGGCCACACUGGAACUGAGACACGGUCCAGACUCCUACGGGAGGCAGCAGUAGGGAAUCUUCCGCAAUGGGCGAAAGCCUGACGGAGCAACGCCGCGUGAGUGAUGAAGGUCUUCGGAUCGUAAAACUCUGUUAUUAGGGAAGAACAUAUGUGUAAGUAACUGUGCACAUCUUGACGGUACCUAAUCAGAAAGCCACGGCUAACUACGUG